rnacentral:lncRNA from 1 species
GCCUGCUUGAUUUAAUCAGGUUUUCCUACAUCUAUCGCUAUCGAGCCUUUUGCCUAUCUGAUCUCGAUCAUAACUAUGCAUUUGAAACCUCUUUCACUC